rnacentral:rRNA from 1 species
GACGAACGCUGGCGGCGUGCUUAACACAUGCAAGUCGAACGAUGAAGCCUAGCUUGCUAGGUGGAUUAGUGGCGAACGGGUGAGUAAUACGUGAGUAACCUACCUUUAACUCUGGGAUAAGCCUGGGAAACUGGGUCUAAUACCGGAUACGACCAAUCUCCGCAUGGGGUGUUGGUGGAAAGCGUUAUGUAGUGGUUAUAGAUGGGCUCACGGCCUAUCAGCUUGUUGGUGAGGUAACGGCUCACCAAGGCGACGACGGGUAGCCGGCCUGAGAGGGUGACCGGCCACACUGGGACUGAGACACGGCCCAGACUCCUACGGGAGGCAGCAGUGGGGAAUAUUGCACAAUGGGCGCAAGCCUGAUGCAGCGACGCCGCGUGAGGGAUGACGGCCUUCGGGUUGUAAACCUCUGUUAGCAGGGAAGAAGAGAGAUUGACGGUACCUGCAGAGAAAGCGCCGGCUAACUACGUGCCAGCAGCCGCGGUAAUACGUAGGGCGCGAGCGUUGUCCGGAAUUAUUGGGCGUAAAGAGCUUGUAGGCGGUUUGUCGCGUCUGCUGUGAAGGCCGGGGCUUAACCCCGUGUAUUGCGGUGGGUACGGGCAGACUAGAGUGCAGUAGGGGAGACUGGAAUUCCUGGUGUAGCGGUGGAAUGCGCAGAUAUCAGGAGGAACACCGAUGGCGAAGGCAGGUCUCUGGGCUGUAACUGACGCUGAGAAGCGAAAGCAUGGGGAGCGAACAGGAUUAGAUACCCUGGUAGUCCAUGCCGUAAACGUUGGGCACUAGGUGUGGGGGACAUUCCACGUUUUCCGCGCCGUAGCUAACGCAUUAAGUGCCCCGCCUGGGGAGUACGGCCGCAAGGCUAAAACUCAAAGAAAUUGACGGGGGCCCGCACAAGCGGCGGAGCAUGCGGAUUAAUUCGAUGCAACGCGAAGAACCUUACCAAGGCUUGACAUAUACUGGACCGCAUCAGAGAUGGUGUUUCCCUUCGGGGCUGGUAUACAGGUGGUGCAUGGUUGUCGUCAGCUCGUGUCGUGAGAUGUUGGGUUAAGUCCCGCAACGAGCGCAACCCUCGUUCUAUGUUGCCAGCACGUUAUGGUGGGGACUCAUAGGAGACUGCCGGGGUCAACUCGGAGGAAGGUGGGGAUGACGUCAAAUCAUCAUGCCCCUUAUGUCUUGGGCUUCACGCAUGCUACAAUGGCCGGUACAGAGGGUUGCGAUACUGUGAGGUGGAGCUAAUCCCUAAAAGCCGGUCUCAGUUCGGAUUGGGGUCUGCAACUCGACCCCAUGAAGUCGGAGUCGCUAGUAAUCGCAGAUCAGCAACGCUGCGGUGAAUGCGUUCCCGGGCCU